AGUGAACGCUGGCGGUAGGCCUAACACAUGCAAGUCGAACGGCAGCACAGUAAGAGCUUGCUCUUACGGGUGGCGAGUGGCGGACGGGUGAGGAAUACAUCGGAAUCUACUUUUUCGUGGGGGAUAACGUAGGAAAACUUACGCUAAUACCGCAUACGACCUACGGGUGAAAGCAGGGGAUCUUCGGACCUUGCGCGAUUGAAUGAGCCGAUGUCGGAUUAGCUAGUUGGCGGGGUAAAGGCCCACCAAGGCGACGAUCCGUAGCUGGUCUGAGAGGAUGAUCAGCCACACUGGAACUGAGACACGGUCCAGACUCCUACGGGAGGCAGCAGUGGGGAAUAUUGGACAAUGGGCGCAAGCCUGAUCCAGCCAUACCGCGUGGGUGAAGAAGGCCUUCGGGUUGUAAAGCCCUUUUGUUGGGAAAGAAAAGCAGCAGGUUAAUACCCCGCUGUUCCGACGGUACCCAAAGAAUAAGCACCGGCUAACUUCGUG
rnacentral:rRNA from 1 species